UACGGGGGGGGCAAGCGUUGUUCGGAAUUACUGGGCGUAAAGGGUUUGUAGGUGGCUUGUUAAGUCAGACGUGAAAUCCCUCAGCUUAACUGGGGAACUGCGUCUGAUACUGGCGAGCUUGAGUGCAGGAGAGGAACGCGGAAUUCCCGGUGUAGAGGUGAAAUUCGUAGAUAUCGGGAGGAACACCAGUGGCGAAGGCGGCUUUCUGGCCAUCAACUGACGCUGAGACGCGAAAGCGUGGGGAGCAAACAGG
rnacentral:rRNA from 1 species